rnacentral:rRNA from 1 species
GACGAACGCUGGCGGCGUGCUUAACACAUGCAAGUCGAACGGAAAGACCCUGCUUUUGUGGGGUGCUCGAGUGGCGAACGGGUGAGUAACACGUGAGUAACCUGCCCUUGACUUUGGGAUAACUUCAGGAAACUGGGGCUAAUACCGGAUAGGAGCUCCUGCUGCAUGGUGGGGGUUGGAAAGUUUCGGCGGUUGGGGAUGGACUCGCGGCUUAUCAGAUUGUUGGUGGGGUAGUGGCUUACCAAGGCUUUGACGGGUAGCCGGCCUGAGAGGGUGACCGGCCACAUUGGGACUGAGAUACGGCACAGACUCCUACGGGAGGCAGCAGUGGGGAAUAUUGCACAAUGGGCGGAAGCCUGAUGCAGCAACGCCGCGUGCGGGAUGACGGCCUUCGGGUUGUAAACCGCUUUCGCCUGUGACGAAGCGUGAGUGACGGUAAUGGGUAAAGAAGCACCGGCUAACUACGUG